rnacentral:SRP_RNA from 1 species
GAUAGGGCUCCUGGCGGUGGCGCGGCUCGAACGGGUCAGGGCCGAAAGGCAGCAGCCAUAAGAGAUUCGGCCACGCGCAUCAGGAGCCCUUUCUCC